ensembl:snoRNA small nucleolar RNA, C/D box 125
UCGCUGGACUGCCUCUUGUGAUGACUCUCAACUUUCUGAGUGGCUGAUUUGAUGAGUUCACUGACCCCUCUAAGAAGUUGACUGAAGAGGCCUAUUAGCC